UAAUCGAAAUUAAAAGAUUAUUGUUAGGGAAGUUCAAAAAGGAGACGGGGAUACUCUAUCAACUAAACAACAAGAUAAUCUACAAGUUGAAUGAGGUCAUGAUGCAAUGAUUCAUGAUCAACGUGAUGAUUCUCACAAACCUACAGAAAAUAAGGAAUUUGUUAGUAAAUAGUUUUAGCCUUGUCCUUUGAUGCUCUUGUAAUCCUGAUAGAAUUAAUACCCACAACUAUAAGCAAAUAGUUUGUCGAAAGAUCCGUAUGUUUUCCUUCCUUAGGACUGAACAUAGAUACUUUAAUUACGUUGCCAGUUAUCUUUUUUUGGGUCUUAUCAUUUAUAUGGCCUUAUUCUCAAAUAAGGCAAGAGUUAUGAUUUUAUGUUAUAAAUUUUACAUCACUCUACUGUAAGGUGGUGUAUGUUUAUAGGGAAUCUAUAUUUUUUGGGGUAUCUUUUUUAUAUCAUUUACUGUUAUAUUAAAGAAUAAAUUCAAGUCCAUCAAAAUCUACUACUGCAUAUAUCUAACUUCAAAAAAGAAUCUUGAAGUUUCAACUUUUCAAUAAUCUGCUAAAUCAAUAUUGACUACGAUGGUUUCAACUCUUCCCAUGGGACACAAUUUAAUUCUUUUGGGGGAUAAAUUUUUCCUCUAAAGCAAGAGUUAUAGAUCAUCUAUCAAAUCAUUACAAACUAAGGUAGUGUCAACUCUAACCCAUGGGACAUAACUUGUUCCUUUGGAGGCUAAGUCUUGCCUCUAGAAAAAAGAGUUAUAAAGAAUGUGUGUCAUAACCUAUUUUUACUUAAAGUUAAAACAAGUAUAACAUUAUGGACUCAAAAAGAAUAAUUUUUAUACAGAGUCGCCACCUUAUUUUUAAGAAAAAAUAGGAAACCUACUUAUUUAUUAACAAGUAUAAUUUUUAUUUCAAUCUGCGAACCAAUUUAAAUUCUAGGUAAGGGUUUAAAUUAUUCCGAAAGAAAGGAAUUAGGCACCCUUCAGAAUCCACAAUGUGGUUUUCAGCCAGACUUAGGUUUAUUAAAAGAAAAAAGAGAAAAAAAAAAUCAAUGACUAUAAAGACAAAUAUAAAAUAGGUAUUGAAAUAAUAUAAUGCGUAUGCUUUCGUAAAAAAUACAUAUAAAUAAAAGUAUACAAAUAUAUGUAUGUAAAGACAAGAUUGAAUAAAAAAGAAUUGUUUUAAGGAAAAGACUACGUAAUAUUUAUUAAUAUAAAAGAAAGUGUGGAUUAUUUAAUUAAAUAUCUAAAUAGAUUUUAAUAUAAAUAUUAACGGUCUAAAUUUGCCUAGCGCGUGAUGAGAAUCACGUAAAAUAAAAAAUAUCCUGCCCAACACCCCAAAAGUUAAGUUUUCACUAUGAUUAAUAUUUGUACAAGUAUAAAAAAUAUAAAAAUACAACAUAAUUUAAAGUCUUCUUUAAAUGUCUUUCCCGACGAAUAUUCCAAAAACCUAUAUAAGCACUCAUAACAAAAAUGUCAGUAACAAAUAAAUAAUUAUCAAAAUAAAUUUAAAAGGAUAAAUAAUUAUCAAAAUAAAUUUAAAAGAUAUGUGUGCAUAUAGGUAUUUAAAAAUAUAAUUUUUGCUAAAAGUGGGUUCGGAUUAAAUUUUAAAUGCGUCAUGACUACGAAGUGGUUGCUCAAUUUAUUGACCCUCCUAAAUCAUCUUGACAAGAUAUGAGUCAUAAAACUUUUUACGUUGUUAUAAAAAUUUCAUCAUCGCCCGAAUUUAUUCAUUUUAUUACGUACUGAUAUAUGCAAUAUCCGUCUUUUAUUUGUGAAGGCCUCGAAAAUCGACGGAGAAUUUCUUCAUCGGUCAAAUAAUAAUGUCCAUUCAAAUUAAUAAAUCACUCCAACCAAUAAUAGAACAAAUAAUAUCAAAGACCAGUCCAGAAAUGAUCCCAAAUAGUGACAAAAUCUACCAAGUAGUAGCUAAGCAAAAUCAUCUCCUUCGAGUGAAAAUUUACCCCAGAACUAGAAAACUAGUCAUAGCAUUAGCAGUGAUUCAAAACCAACAAUAGAGACAACUAUAAGUAAUUAGAUUAUUGAAAAUGGGGUUUGAAACACGUAGACAAAUGACCAAAAAAUGGAGCUUGAUAGAAAAAUUAUCAUUCUUAUCCGAAAAAUUCAAAAAUUAGCCAAAUCUAUACUAAACAAUGGAACAAAGAAUAAUAGUGCAAGCAAUCAAUGACAUACAAUGUGACAGUCUUGUCCAUCAACUAUUUUCUCCAGCGUGAUACAGUAAACGAAAAAGGAGGAGGGGUAUUUCUUCCAAGGCUUUCAUCGGAGCAACACUAAAUAUAUAUACUCCAGCCAGAUCUGGCUUGUAAAUGGUGUAAGCCAUCAUUUCGAAUAUAUAAUAGCGAACCACAAGCAAAAGGUAAGAGUAAAGAUGCGGUGAUGAAGCUUCACCAUCGCUCACUGUCCGUUCGGUGGUCAAGUCCAGUGGCGAAAGUGGGACGGAGAAAGUGGGAAGGUGGUGCGAGUUGGAGAGAGGAGAGAGGCGGAAGGGCGUUUAGAGGUGGGUGAUGGUUUGGUGUUUGUCGAAGCUCCGGUGACGGCAACGACAGUGAGGGUCUGAGAGAGAAAAAAGAGCAUGAGAGAGAGAUCUGAUCUGGUUUAUGUGUGCACAUGCGUUGGUGUGUGUAUGUGUUCAUUACACAAUAAAAGGUCCAUUAUUGACCCAAAAAAUAAAAUCAACUAUUUUAACCAUUAAAUAAUAAUAUAUUGAUCAAAGAGUAAAAACUUCAACCG
rnacentral:lncRNA from 1 species